CGGACGGGUGAGUAAUGCGUAGGAAUUUACCUCAAAGCGGGGGAUAGCCCGGAGAAAUCCGGAUUAAUACCGCAUGUGCUCUACGGAGUAAAGCGGGCCUCUUCUUGAAAGCUCGCACUUUGAGAUAAGCCUACGUCGGAUUAGCUUGUUGGUAGGGUAAAAGCCUACCAAGGCGACGAUCCGUAGCUGGUUUGAGAGGAUGAUCAGCCACACUGGGACUGAGACACGGCCCAG
rnacentral:rRNA from 1 species